rnacentral:rRNA from 1 species
UACGUAGGGGGCUAGCGUUGUCCGGAAUCAUUGGGCGUAAAGCGCGUGUAGGCGGUCCGGUAAGUCCGCUGUGAAAGUCGGGGGCUCAACCCUCGGAUGCCGGUGGAUACUGUCGGGCUCGAGUACGGAAGAGGCGAGUGGAAUUCCUGGUGUAGCGGUGAAAUGCGCAGAUAUCAGGAGGAACACCAAUUGCGAAGGCAGCUCACAAAGCCACUAUUGACGCUGAGGCACGAAAGCGUGGGGAUCAAACGGG